UACGGGGGGAGCAAGCGUUGUUCGGAUUUACUGGGCGUAGAGGGCGCGUAGGCGGUCAGCACAAGUCAGUUGUGAAAUCUCCGGGCUUAACUCGGAAAGGUCAACUGAUACUGUGCGACUAGAGUGCAGAAGGGGCAACUGGAAUUCUCGGUGUAGCGGUGAAAUGCGUAGAUAUCGAGAGGAACACCUGCGGCGAAGGCGGGUUGCUGGGCUGACACUGACGCUGAGGAGCGAAAGCAUGGGGAGCGAACAGG
rnacentral:rRNA from 1 species